GGCUCGGUGGUGGAUGGUCCACACCUGCGUACCAUAAAUGGCACGCUGAGCAGAAUGCAUGCAGGGGAUGCCUGUUCGAUCCGGGCCCGAGCCA